AUGGAUUGUUUUAAGAAAACAGCAGACAAAUCGGACAUGAGUGAUAUCACCAGCUUGGAUAAAGCCAAGCUGAAGAAAAUGGAGACCCAGGAGAAGAACACCCUGCCAACCAAAGAGACCACUGAGCAGGAGAAGUGGAGUGGAAUUUCCUAAGUCUGGAAGAUCCCCUACCCCCAUCAUCUUCAAGACUCCAGUCAUUAUGUGGAGGAAGAGCCACCGGUAAGAUGGACAUGAGCCACAAGCUGCACUGUGAACCCGGGCACUCUGUGCCGAUGUCACCGGCCAUGGGU